UACAGAGGUGCCAAGCGUUAGGCGGAAUCACUGGGCUUAAAGCGCGUGUAGGCGGGUCGUUAAGUGUCCGAGUGAAAUCCCACGGCUCAACCGUGGAACUGCCGGGCAUACUGGCGAUCUUGAGGCAUUCAGGGGCGAGCGGAACAAAUGGUGGAGCGGUGAAAUGCGUAGAUAUCAUUUGGAACGCCAAUGGUGAAAACAGCUCGCUGGGAAUGAUCUGACGCUGAGACGCGAAAGCUAGGGGAGCGAAUGGG
rnacentral:rRNA from 1 species